rnacentral:rRNA from 1 species
UACAGAGGGUGCGAGCGUUAAUCGGAAUUACUGGGCGUAAAGCGUGCGCAGAUGGUCAUGUAAGUCGGGUGUGAAAGCCCCGGGCUCAACCUGGGAACGGCGCGCGAAACGGGGGGGCUUGAGUUCGGGAGAGGAGAGUGGAAUUCCCAGUGUAGAGGUGAAAUUCGUAGAUAUUGGGAAGAACACCGGUGGCGAAAGCGCUCUGCUGGACCUUAACUGACACUGAGGGACGAAAGCUAGGGGAGCGAAUGGG